CCUACGGGAGACAGCAGUGGGGAAUAUUGGACAAUGGGGGGAACCCUGAUCCAGCGACGCCGCGUGAGUGAAGAAGUAUUUCGGUAUGUAAAGCUCUAUCAGCAGGGAAGAAAAUGACGGUACCUGACUAAGACGCCCCGGCUAACUACGUGCCAGCCGCCGCGGUCAUACGGAGGGGGCAAGCGUUAUCCGGAUUUACUGGGUGUAAGGGGAGCGUAGACGGUGCAGCAAGUCUGAUGUGAAAGGUCGGGGCCCAACCCCGGGACUGCCUUGGAAACUGUUGAACUGGAGUACAGGAGAGGUAAGCGGAAUUCCUAGUGUAGCGGUGAAAUGCGUAGAUAUUAGGAGGAACACCAGUGGCGAAGGCGGCUUACUGGACUGUAACUGACGUUGAGGCUCGAAAGCGUGGGGAGCAAACAGGAUUAGAUACCCGUGUAGUC
rnacentral:rRNA from 1 species